UCGCACCUACCAAUUGAAUGGUCAGGUGAAGCCUCGGGAUUGCAAUGAGUUUCCUUCAUUGGGAGUUCGUUGCGAGAACCUGUCUAAACCUUAUCAUUUAGAGGAAGGUG
rnacentral:rRNA from 1 species